CCCUUAGAUGUCCUGGGCUGCACGCGCGCUACACUGAUGUGUCCAGUAAGCACCUAACCUAUUCCGAGAGGAGCGGGUAACCUUAGCAAAGCACAUCGUGAUGGGGAUAGAUUAUUGCAAUUAUUAGUCUUGAACGAGGAAUUCCUAGUAAGCACAAGUCAUCAGCUUGUGUUGAUUACGUCCCUGCCCUUUGUACACACCGCCCGUCGCUCCUACCGAUUGAAUGUUCCGGUGGGCUCUUCGGACUGCGCGGUCUGCAGUUUCUGCGUUCCGUGCGGAAAGUUGUGCAAACCUUAACAUUUAGAGGAAGGAGAAGUCGUAACA
rnacentral:rRNA from 1 species